AGAAAGAAAACAGCAAACAAACAAAACCAUACCAUUACAAGGAGAAGGACACUUCAGAAACUGGAAGAAAAAAGUCAUUGGCAAAAGAGUCCCUCUGAGCAGAUGCCAGAACAACUUUCUUGAGGAGGGCAACCAUGCAGUGGAUCCUGUAGGCUGCUCUGGGCACCCACAGCCAGGUGGUCAUCAUACAAUGUAAAGCAGAGUUCUUGGUUGCAUCCCAUUACCAGUUAGAAAAAUUCUUCUUUUAAUCAGCAAAAUAUUUCUAGCCCUCAGAAGAGUUUUAGAUAUCUCCUGGAACCCCUCCUUUGCAUACAAGUAAGAGUAUUUUUGAGCAUGGUCUAAAGGGGCAUGGAGAGCAACUAAAAUUCAAGUCUCUAAUGCUCUGAUUCUGAUCCGAAUAGAAUAUUUUGUGUGGGAUAUUUAGACACGUUAUUUCUGUGGUCAGAUUGCCAAGGUAUGAAGUGAAUAUGAUCAUCAUUUCAGGUUUUUUGUUUUUUUUUUUUAAUCUUUUCUUGCUUAACACAUAAUUGAAACAUUGGAUUUUCUGUUGUUACCUUCAUAACAGACAACACAUAGUUUGGUCAAGCUCUGUAUAAUCACCAGAUAUGGCAGAAAUCAUUUAAUGAUAUGAGCACAGGAAACAGUCAGGAGUUAUUCCUUCACAUGCUUCAGAGAGGCGAUUAUGGUAUUUCAGGAUAUACAGUGACAGAUUGACAAAGUUAUGCUUUUCUAUUUAUCCAUGGGGAUAAUUUAAUACCCACUUCAGAGCAGAAUGGCUUUGUGUAUUCAUUUGUAAAAUUGGAAGGGGCAUGCCAUAUCUAGCUGCGUCUUUACUUCUACUAAUGCUAAUCUUCUUUUUCCCAUAGUUUGAUUAAACUUUUGAAGCAUCUUGGAUCACAAUUCUCCAAUGGUCACAGCCUGCUGCUAUCAGAAUAUUCCCAGAUCUAAUCUGAAAAAACAUUUUGUUCCAGUUAUAACGAAGACAGUGAACUUCUGGAAUAUCACCAAACCACUCUCUGUAAAGCAUCACUCAGAAAACCACGGAGAGGGGUCUUACUCACUAUUUUCAAAUCUCUUUUUAGAUUGCUAAUAAAAAGACCCCACUGAAUUUACAAACAGUUUUUCUUGUUGUACUAAGAGUCAAGAAUAAUUUAAGAUUUAAAAAAAAUGAAUGUAAAUGAAUGUAACAUCACAUUAUCCACAAAGAAUUUCCUUUUUUGCCCUGACGUUAUCACCACUCUCACACACACAGCAUGAAUGUCUCAAUUCAGAAGAAAGAGUUGUGACAUCAUUCCAGUAAUUACCUUCAUCUGAAAGUCCUGAAUGUGCUCCAGCAGCCCAGCGAGGUGUGGGUGCUGCCAGCUGUUGGGGGAGAGGUAACUGAGUCUGAAUUUUGUAGCACAAUUCUCUUUGAGACAUCCCAUACUCUUUAUAGGAAGCACCAAAGUAAACGUAAUUUGGAAAUUCUUUUCUUAAAGUUUAGCAUUCAAGAGCAAUUUUGAGGCUGCCUUGUGAUCACCAGAC
rnacentral:lncRNA from 1 species